rnacentral:rRNA from 1 species
AGAGGUCUCAAGCGUUGUUCGGAGUUUACUGGGCGUAAAGCGUGCGUAGGCGGCGAGGUAAGUCAGAUGUGAAAGCUCCGGGGGCUCAAACCCCGAAAUUGCAUCCGAUACUGCCUUGCUAGAGUAGUGGACGGGGGGUCUGGAAUUCACGGUGUAGCAGUGAAAUGCGUAGAUAUCGUGAGGAACACUAGUGGCGAAGGCGAGACCCUGGACACUUACUGACGCUGAGGCACGAAGGCUAGGGUAGCGAAGCGGAUUAGAUACCCGCGUAGUCCUAGCAGUAAACGGUGCACGUUUGGUGUGGGAGGAUUCGACCCCUUCCGUGCCGUAGCUAACGCGUUAAACGUGCCGCCUGGGGAGUACGAUCGCAAAGAUUAA